rnacentral:lncRNA from 1 species
ACUUUUCUUUAGACUUUUACCUGGAGACCGUCUUAGUGCUGAACAUGAAAUUUUUUAUUGUCUUGAUGUUAUAUAACUUCCUAACAAGUCUUGUACAAGGAACCACUGCAAAAAAGAAGGUAGACACCAGCCCAGUUAUUGUAGAUGGCAAACUCUCUGAAGAAGGUCAUUGGCCCUGGAUGGUCUCCAUUACUGCGAAACACAGACGGAAAAUAUUCAACUGUGGAGGCAUGCUUAUUACUAAAUAUUGGGUCCUCACAGCGGCACAUUGUCUUUAUGUCAAUGAAAU